rnacentral:rRNA from 1 species
CCGAGAUUCCCCCAGUAGCGGCGAGCGGACGGGGAGCAGCCCAGAGCCUGAAUCAGUGUGUGUGUUAGUGGAAGCGUCUGGAAAGGCGUGCGAUACAGGGUGACAGCCCCGUACACAAAAAUGCACAUAUUGUGAGCUUGAUGAGUAGGGCGGGACACGUGGUAUCCUGUCUGAAUAUGGGGGGACCAUCCUCCAAGGCUAAAUACUCCUGACUGACCGAUAGUGAACCAGUACCGUGAGGGAAAGGCGAAAAGAACCCCGGCGAGGGGAGUGAAAAAGAACCUGAAACCGUGUACGUACAAGCAGUGGGAGCACGCUUAGGCGUGUGACUGCGUACCUUUUGUAUAAUGGGUCAGCGACUUAUAUUCUGUAGCAAGGUUAACCGAAUAGGGGAGCCGAAGGGAAACCGAGUCUUAACUGGGCGUUAAGUUGCAGGGUAUAGACCCGAAACCCGGUGAUCUAGCCAUGGGCAGGUUGAAGGUUGGGUAACACUAACUGGAGGACCGAACCGACUAAUGUUGAAAAAUUAGCGGAUGACUUGUGGCUGGGGGUGAAAGGCCAAUCAAACCGGGAGAUAGCUGGUUCUCCCCGAAAGCUAUUUAGGUAGCGCCUCGUGAAUUCAUCUCCGGGGGUAGAGCACUGUUUCGGCA